rnacentral:lncRNA from 1 species
CAUGAAGUCUGUAAGACAACCAAACAACUCACAUUUAUUAGCUUUUCUCGAGCAUCUUGUAACUGGUAAUUGUUGUUCCUCUCCUUGACAAGUAGAGCUUGAUAUGAAUAUUGAAGACUUUCAAAAUCUUCAUCCUUCUCCUUCAGUUUUUCUUCCCUCUUCUACAAUUUUUCUUCCCUCUCCUUGAGUUUUUCUUCCAAGAACUCCAUCUUUUUCUUCAUUUCCAUAAUAUCCUCACCAUUAUUAUUUGGUCUCAUUACACCAAUAUAACCAGCAGCACCCCUAGCAUUAGCAGCCACAACACCUGCAUCACCAGCACCACGAAGCUGCACACCAUCACCCUGCGGUCCUCUUUCCAAGUUGUGCUCCAUUUUAAUCUGUGCAUGCCAUAACAUUAAGCUGGUACUUCACUAAUCCAGGUAAAAUUUAUAGUUAUAUAAUUGUAUAGUUAUGUUAACCAGUAUGAGAUAAAACCACUACUAGAAAAAGUGGAAUAGACAUCGCACUUCAUCAGUUAGAAUUGCCACUAUGUUAAAAAUGUUUUUAACAUCAUUUUCACUUAAACUGAUGAGUUAAAGUACUUUAGACAUCAGUUAUUUUGCAACUGAUGUGUAAGGUACGUGUUUAAAAAAAGUUUCCACCAUUCCCACCCCCAUUUCCCCUUUAUCAAAAAUUCCCCUCUCUUACAAAAUUUCAACUUCCAUCCCUUAAACAAAUUUCAUCUCCCUCUAAUAUUCA